rnacentral:misc_RNA from 1 species
CCUACGGGAGGCAGCAGCUAGGAAUUUUCCGCAAUGGACGAAAGUCUGACGGAGCAACGCCGCGUGAAGGAUGAAGGUCUUUAGAGAUUGUAAACUUCUUUUAUAUGGGACGAGAAAGGACGGUACCAUAUGAAUAAGUCCCGGCUAACUACGUGCCAGCAGCCGCGGUAAU